GACUAAAAUCCGUUGGCUUUUUAGACCGUGAGGGUUCAAGUCCCUCUACCCCCA
rnacentral:tRNA from 1 species